GACGAACGCUGGCGGCGUGCUUAACACAUGCAAGUCGAACGGAAAGGCCCUGCUUUUGUGGGGUGCUCGAGUGGCGAACGGGUGAGUAACACGUGAGUAACCUGCCCUUGACUUUGGGAUAACGUCAGGAAACUGGGGCUAAUACCGGAUAGGAGCUCCUGCUGCAUGGUGGGGGUUGGAAAGUUUCGGCGGUUGGGGAUGGACUCGCGGCUUAUCAGCUUGUUGGUGGGGUAGUGGCUUACCAAGGCUUUGACGGGUAGACAGCCUGAGAGGGUGACCGGCCACAUUGGGACUGAGAUACGGCCCAGACUCCUACGGGAGGCAGCAGUGGGGAAUAUUGCACAAUGGGCGGAAGCCUGAUGCAGCAACGCCGCGUGCGGGAUGACGGCCUUCGGGUUGUAAACCGCUUUCGCCUGUGACGAAGCGUGAGUGACGGUAAUGGGUAAAGAAGCACCGGCUAACUACGUG
rnacentral:rRNA from 1 species